rnacentral:rRNA from 1 species
UACGGAGGGGGCUAGCGUUGUUCGGAAUUACUGGGCGUAAAGGGCGCGUAGGCGGGCUUGUAAGUUAGUUGUGAAAUCCCCGGGCUUAACCUGGGACGUGCAACUAAAACUGCAGGUCUUGAGUAUUGGAGAGGAUGGCGGAAUUACAGGUGUAGAAGUGAAAUUCGUAGAUAUCUGUAAGAACACCGGAGGCGAAGGCGGCUGUCUGGCCAAAUACUGACGCUAAGGCGCGAAAGUGCGGGGAGCAAACAGG